ensembl:lncRNA
GGCACUGGACGUGAUUCCACAACAAAAUUAUACAAGUUAUUUUUAAUAUCAAAUUGUUUUCUUAGAAUACAAUCACAAAUAUUCAAUAAAAUCUACAGUCAAUGGAAUAUUACACCAAAAAAGGAACGUUUAAGCGUCAUUCAGGUUACCAUGGAAUGCAACGUACGGGGGGGCUGAGGGGGACGGAGCCCAAUGUUCCACCACAAAACAAAAAACACACACCAACUAUUGACACCGAGGUGCACUACAACAACACAAUGAAGGAAACCACCAGCGGGAUCAGCCGUCACCAGUAGCACCAACAGCUCCUGCUCAUCACAACAAACAGAAGCAGCCAUUAGCAACAGCAGCCAGAGGCCGAGGAGCGGCAGGAAGACGCACCUGAGGGGGAUGAGCCGCUCAUACAUGUAACCUCAGCGUCAAAGCGACGGAGGAUACUUGCUCACAGCCUGGUGACACACAGUGGGAGCGUAGACGGAAAGCCACCUGAUGUAAAACACCCCAAACAUGGAGAGAGAGCUGUGACCCCCCCACGUGACCCCCCGCGGACCUCAGGGUCAAAGCCCCUCCCCCCCGGCAGGCUCCUCCCCCCUGCGUCCCCUUUCACGGGGUCAGUUUGAAUCAGAUCUUCAGGAAAUCAGCAUCAAAGAACCUCCUCAGUCCUUUUCUUCUUCAGUCAUUGGAAUAUUCUCUGUUUCUGAUGAUUUGGAUUUAAAUUGGACAAACAUGAAGAAAAAGGUGGUGAUGAUGAUGAUGAUGAUGAUGCUGAUGGGACUGCUCAGGUUUGAGAUCUUCCUUAAAAUACAAGAAUAUAUACAUUUGAAGUGUAUAAUAUAUUUUUAUUUUUUUAUAGGAAAUUAUAGAUCUGCAGGUUUGAGAAGCAUCAAUUAAUAUCUAAAUAAUAAUAAUAGCUAUAUAUAUAUUGUAUAUAUAAGUGUGUGUGUUUUGUUAUUCACCUGAAUCCAGAUUCAGAUGAAUACUAGACACAAUUAAACAGAUCAAUAAUAGUCAAUAAAAUGUGAGUUAAUAUUUGUGUGGAAUCACUUCGAUGUUCUGUUUCAUUUGCUUCAUAUUUGUUGUUUUCAUGAGCUGGUUUUCAGAAGAAGAUAGAAAGUCACUCUGAACAUUCAUCAUCAUCCUCCUCAUUUUCAUACAGAAGACCAGUGUGUGUGUGUGUGUGUGUGUGUGUGU